AAUGAACGCUGGCGGCGUGCCUAAUACAUGCAAGUCGAACGAAGUGGCGCACGGAUGAGUAAUAUAUAGUUAAGCUGCCCUACAAAGAGGAACAACAGUUGGAAACGACUGCUAAUACCUCAUAGUGUAGGAUGAGACUCUAUCGUAUCAGCUAGUUGGUAAGGUAAUGGCUUACCAAGGCUAUGACGCGUAACUUGUCUGAGAGGAUGAUCAGACAAAUUGUAACUGAGACACGGUCAAAACUCCUUCGGGAGGCAGCAGUAAGGUGUAAUGCGCAAUGGGGGAAACCCUGAGACAGCAACGCCGCGUGGAGCAUGACUCUUUUCGGAGCGUAAACUCCUUUUAUAAGGAAAGCGGUACCUGAUGAAUAAGCACCGGCUAACUCCGUGCCAGCAGCCGCGGUAAUAC
rnacentral:rRNA from 1 species